rnacentral:rRNA from 1 species
UGAAGAGUGCGUGUGUUUUUUUUAUUUGACCCGAAACUAAGUGAUCUAGCUUUGAACAGGCUGAAGAAAGGGUAAAAGCUUUUGGAGGGCCGAACUGACGUCUGUUGCAAUAGACGCAGAUGAGUUGAGGCUAGGGGUGAAAGGCCAAUCAAACUUAGAGAUAGCUGGUUCUCCGCGAAAUUUAUUGAGGUAAAGCGUUCAACGAUGUAGAAAGGGGGUAGAGCACUCAUUAGGUAAAGGGGAUCCAAAGUCUUACUGAACUUAUUGAAACUCCGAAGACCUUUCUUUGAUAUCUUGAGCAGACAGACUUAAAGUGCUAAGGUUUUAAGUCAAAAGGGAAACAGCCCAGACUGUUCGCUAAGGUCCUUAAACAUUUUGGAAGUGGUAAAAGGCGUUUUAAAACAAAGACAGCUAGGAGAUUGGCUUGGAAGCAGCCAUUCUAUAAUGAAAGCGUAAUAGCUCACUAGUCGAGUUUUAAAGCACUGAUAAUGUAUCGGGGCUUCACAAAAUUACCCAAGCGACAGAGAACAAUGGUAGCGGAGCGUUUUGUAGACCGUAGAAGAAGUUUUGUGAAAAACUUUGGAGGAUUCAAAAGUGAGAAUGCUGACAUGAGUAACGAAAAAUCAUGUGACAAUCAUGAUCGCCGUAAGUUCAAGGGUUUCUGCGUUCUGUUUUUCAGCGCAGAGUGAUCCGGUCUCUAAGUGUGUUUUUGAUAAAAAACCACGAUGAAAAAAAUGAAAGAUGAGGAAAUGUUUUUUAGAAACCAACAGUUUAUUGGAUAGCUUUUUCGUUUCUAAUGUUUCCAGGAAAAAUCUUCAUAAAAUUGACCGUACCCUAAACCGACACCGGUGAACGAGUCGAGUAGACUCAGGCGUUGAGAGAACCAUAUUGAAGGAACUCGGCAAAUUUUUCCUGUACCUUUGGAAGAAAGGAAGCCAAUUUUGGUGACACAAAAAUGGGGGUGACGACUUUUUACUAAAAAAUUAGGACUCUGCAAAAUGGGAACAUGAAGUAUAGGGUCUGACGCCUGCCCGGUGCUUGAAGCUUAACCUGUAUGCUUUUUUGGUAUAUUGAGAAGGCCUAGUAAACGGCGGUUGUAACUAUAACAAUCAUAAAGUAGCGAAAUUCAUUGCCAGCUAAUUCCUGGCCUGCAUGAAAGACGUAACGAUUGCCCCACUGUCUCCAGUAUGGACUCAGUGAAAUUGAAUUCUCCGUGCAGAUGCGGAGUACGUGCCCCAAGACGAGAAGACCCUAUGCAUCUUUACUGUACAUUUACACUGGAAAAAAGCUUAAAUUGUGUAGGAUAGGUGGGAGUUGACAACAACCUUGAAAUACCACCCUUUUUAAGAAGAGUUCCUUACUUGAACACGGUUCAAAAACACUGUAUAUGAGGCAGUUUGACUGGGGCGGUCGCCUCCCAAAGAGUAACGGAGGUGUGCGAAGGUAAACUCAAUGAAAGACGGAAACUUUCCGUAGAGCGUAAUGGUAAAAGUUUGCCUGACUGCGAGAGUGACACCUCGAGCAGAGACGAAAGUCGGCCAUAGUGAUCCAAAAGUGCUGCGUGGAAAGACUUUUGCUUAACGAAUCAAAGAUACGCUAGGGAUAACAGGCUAAUAAUUCCCAAGAGCCCUUAUCGACGGAAUUGUUUGGCACCUCGAUGUUGACUGAUCAUAUCCUGGGGCUGAAGAAGGUCCCAAGGGUUCGGCUGUUCGCCGAGUAACAUGGUACCUGAGUUGAGUUUAGAACGUCGUGAGACAGUUUGGAUUCUACCUGGGGUGCGCGUAAGAAUUGAGAAAACCACAUCCUUGUACGAGAGGACCGGAUGUGUACAACCUCUGGUAUAGUAAUUGUCCGGCCACGGGCAUGGUUACUACGCUACGUUGUGAAAGGAUAAGUACUGAAAGCAUAUCAAGUACGAAACUUUUUUCAAGACAUAUUCUUUAUCGUAUUGUAUAUCGUACAAGUUGAGUACGUUAAUAGAUAAGCUGUGUAUUAUUUGUAAAAAUAGAAGCAUCCUUAUACUAAACUAUACAUUUUUUUUUCUGU